GCCGCAGGCAUGGAGGGACACGGGGCUUGGGGUCGUGGGGUCGGGCCGACGAUGUCGGAGCCAGCAGGGUCAAGGUGGCCAUAAGCAUAGAGGGAUGCAGGCUUAGGGCCGUGGGAUAUUGGAGGGACAGGAUGGGGAGGGAUGGGGUGUUUGGGCACCAGCGAGAGGAUGAGUCACUGAUGAGAGGACCGGACGUUUGGGCACCGACGAUAGGAGAGGAUGAGGGAAGAGGAGGGA
rnacentral:lncRNA from 1 species